CAAACAGGAGCCUCCCUCUUCUCAGCCUCGCGCAAAGGAAGCGUCCGGACUCCCCGCAGCGCCCUCGUUUCUGGCACUGAGCCAGGAGGAUGUGCACCAUAUAUGACGCAGUGGACGUGAUGAUGCGCUAUCAGAUCCCCUCCUGCUCAUCGGGAAGCCUUCCGCUAUCUGUCGCUUCAGGGCUAUUCUCAGCUGCACAAAGCCAUCUUGCCCAAAGUCAUCCCCUUCCUGGGAGAGCUCAGAAUCUGAUACCAAGAGUUCCUCAUAACAAACAUCCUCAUCUGUAAACUCCAUGUCAGAGUGUGCUUCCCAGAGAACCCAACCUGUGAUUUACAACUAGAAUGGAAGAUUCUCGAGAGCAGGCAUGUUUGUC